AGAGUUUGAUUCUGGCUCAGAACGAACGCUGGCAGCGUGGAUUAGGCAUGCAAGUCGAACGUGAUCCGGGGCUAUAGCAAUAUAAUCCUGGUGAAAGUGGCGAAUGGGUGAGUAACGCGUGGGUAAUCUACCUUCAAGUUGGGGAUAACCCGCCGAAAGGCGGGCUAAUACCGAAUGUGGUCUCUGGUCGCAUGGCCGGAUGACUGAAGGCGGGGAUCUUUCGGGACCUGUCGCUUGAAGAGGAGCCCGCGUCCCAUCAGCUAGUUGGUGAGGUAACGGCCCACCAAGGCUUACGGGUAGCUGGUCUGAGAGGACGACCAGCCACACUGGGACUGAGACACUGCCCAGACUCCUACGGGAGGCUGCAGUCGAGGAUCUUUUGCAAUGGGCGCAAGCCUGACAAGCGACGCUGCGUGGAGGAUGAAGGCCUUCGGGUUGUAAACUCCUGUCAUUCGGGAAAAAUGAUACGGCUUUGAAUAGAGGCCGUGUCCUGAUGGUACCGGAAGAGGAAGCCACGGCUAACUCUGCGCCAGCAGCCGCGGUAAUACAGAGGUGGCGAGCGUUGUUCGGAUUUACUGGGCGUAAAGGGCGCGUAGGCGGUUCCGCGUGUCGGUUGUGAAAUCCCACGGCUCAACUGUGGAAUGGCAUCCGAAACUGCGGGGCUGGAGUGCAGGAGGGGAGAGCGGAAUUCUUGGUGUAGCGGUGAAAUGCGUUGAUAUCAAGAAGAACACCGGUGGCGAAGGCGGCUCUCUGGAAUGUCACUGACGCUGAGGCGCGAAAGCUGGGGGAGCAAACAGGAUUAGAUACCCUGGUAGUCCCAGCCCUAAACGGUGUGCACUUGGUGUGGGAGGUAUUGACCCCUCCCGUGCCGGAGCUAACGCGUUAAGUGCACCGCCUGGGGAGUACGGCCGCAAGGCUAAAACUCAAAGAAAUUGACGGGGGCCCGCACAAGCGGAGGAGCAUGUGGCUUAAUUCGAUGCAACGCGAAGAACCUUACCAGGGCUUGACAUGUAGCUGCACGUCCCGUGAAAGCGGGAUUCCUUCGAGGGUGCUACACAGGUGCUGCAUGGCUGUCGUCAGUUCGUGCCGUGAGGUGUUGGGUUAAGUCCCGCAACGAACGCAACCCCUGUGUCUAGUUGCCACCCCCGAUGAUGAGUUGGGGAGCACUUUAGACAGACUGCCCGUACACACGGGAGGAAGGUGGGGACGACGUCAAGUCAGUAUGGCCCUUACGCCCUGGGCUGCACACGUGCUACAAUGGGCGGUACAGAGGGAUGCAAGACCGCGAGGUGGAGCAAAUCCUUAAACCGUCCUCAGUUCGGAUUGAAGUCUGAAACUCGACUUCAUGAAGCUGGAUUCGCUAGUAACGGCGCAUCAGCUACGGCGCCGUGAAUACGUUCCCGGGCCUUGUACACACCGCCCGUCACAUCAUGAAAGCCGUCUGCACCCGAAGUCGCCGGGCCAACCCGCAAGGGGGGCAGGUGCCGAAGGUGUGGGUGGUGAUUGGGAUGAAGUCGUAACAAGGUA
rnacentral:rRNA from 1 species